GAUGAAGAACGUAGCAAAAUGCGAUACGUAAUGUUAAUUGCAGAAUUCAGUGAAUCAUCGAGUCUUUGAACGCACAUUGCGCCCCCUGGUAUUCCGGGGGGCAUGCCUGUCCGAGCGUCAUUGCUGCCCUCAAGCACGGCUUGUGUGUUGGGCCUCCGUCCUCCUCCCGGGGGACGGGCCCGAAAGGCAGCGGCGGCACCGCGUCCGGUCCUCGAGCGUAUGGGGCUUCGUCACCCGCUCUUGUAGGCCCGGCCGGCGCUUGCCGACACAUCAAUCUUUUUUCCAGGUUGACCUCGGAUCAGGUAGGGAUACCCGCUGAACUUAAGCAUAUCAAUAAGCGGAGGA
rnacentral:misc_RNA from 1 species